GACGUAGGGGGCCAGCGUUGCUCGGAAUUACUGGGCGUAAAGGGUUCGUAGGCGGUGUGGCAAGUCGGGAGUGAAAUCUCUGGGCUUAACUCAGAGGCUGCUUCCGAAACUGCCGUGCUAGAGUGCGGGAGAGGCGAGUGGAAUUGCAGGUGUAGCGGUGAAAUGCGCAGAUAUCGGGAAGAACACCCGUGGCGAAGGCGGCUCUCUGGGACGGUACUGACGCUGAGACGCGAAAGCGUGGGGAGCGAAACAGG
rnacentral:rRNA from 1 species